UGCAGACCCGUGAAGUCCAGGAUUCAGGAACCCUAGGUAAACCGAAAGUAACCUCCGGGUUGGCCGUGCGGGGGGCGGGGCUGAAGGUGUGGUCGCGCCCUAAACCUGGACCUAGGCGGGUACCUAAACGUCUCCUGGGAGCCAAAAGAGCAAAUCAGCAAGAUGGCCCUUACCACGAUGUCACCAGAUGAUGACAACUUAAUAUUUGACUUCCCAGCCUCCAGAACUGCCCUGGAAUUUGAAUCACCAUCUUCUGGACUGACUCAAAUGCAGAGGAAGCCAGACCUGCCACUAACAUUUGUAAGAGCCGCAAGAGCAUAAAUGGAGAUCCACAUGUGUAUAAAUAAUUAGAGUGUGAAUAAAGCUAACAAACUGUGUAAUAAAAUAUGAUCUACUCUUUAGCUUGACAAAUCAACUUUUCAAACACUUGGAAGAACAAGUUUGCACUCAGGAUUCUCAGACUCCUCCAAGUUCUGCACUGGCAUGUGGAAGAGCUGUGCAAGCCAGCCCUUGGGUCCCUGAUCCCCGCCUCCUGGCUUGUACCUAUCUAUUCUCAGCCUGGCUCCAGCUCCCAUUGAGAGGAAGUUCUUGUACACACAUGAUACUAUAGCCCCUAUGUCUAAUAUUUAUCUAUACCUUCUGCAGACAGCCACUGUGUGACCACCCUUGGGCUUAGGGGUCCGCAAACUGACAACAGACAAAGGGAACCAAGGCAGAGGCUCACAGACUCUAGAAAUGGGCAUAGGUCCAUGUGGGCAGAGACCUGUGGAAUCCCGGGGAGAAGACAGAAGAAAAAUUAGACUGAAGAAUCUGAAGAAAGCAGGAAAUGGGCUUAAGCUGGAAGCAGACUGCUGGGAGUACAUGGAAAUCUGCAGGAUGGAGCAAGUGAGACAUACUCAGGAGGACAGUAUGGAUAGGAUUUUCUCAUCUGGGAACUUGUUUAAAAAUGAAGAUUCUGAUUGAGUAGGUCUGCAGUAGGGCCUGAGAUUCUGCAUUUCUUUCUUCCUUCUUCCUUCUCUCUUUCUUUUUUUUUUUUCUUUCUUUUUUUUAAUAGAGACAGAGGUCUUGCUAUGUUCCCCAGACUGGUCUUGAAUACCUCCUGGCCCCAAGCAAUUCUCCCAUCUCCCAUCUCAGCUUUCCAAAGUGCUAAGAUUACAAGCAUGAGCCACCACAGCUGGUCAGAUUCUGCAUUUCUAAUGGGACCCCUAGUGAUACUGGUGCUCCUCACCUGGGACCACACUUUGAGGAACAGCAGUUAGUUGUCAGAAAUCACAGGCAGGAGCAUUCCUAAUCAGUGGUAAGGACUGUGAUCAUCACUACUUACAGCCAAGGAUGCCUCCUGCAAAUGUUACAAAGGGGUGAUAGCAAUGAGUGGGAACAGUGUACCACUACUGCUUCACCCAUCCGUUGCAACCUGUGCUGACCCCAGCGCCAGGACCAAACAGCUACUGCAUUCAUACCAAUGCUUAGUUUUUCACUCUGGCAGGAACCCUUAUAGAGGAAUCUGAUCAAGUUUUAUUUGUUUCAUCUCCAAAGCUCUGUCACAGAGUCCUUCAACAUUUCCUUGAUUCACAUAAUAUCUGGGACUGCUGAUACUGUCCUAGGUUUAAAAGGCAAUUGCUUGUCUUAGCUUCAGCCCUGAGGGUGCCCACAAACUACAGCUGGUAGGAUGGAAGCUUCACCCCAUCAUUUUCUAUAUUGGAUGAGAAGAACAAAAAGGAAAUUAUUGCCUAAAAACCCAGCAUUAAAGUAGUUUGAGCCCAAGCUUGAAAGCAUCUCAACUUUCAUUUGAAAUUAAGCUAUUGUUAAGCUCCUCUAUAAACUCUCCAUGCUCUACUGAAAUAGGUUUUUGAAGUAUUACGUUCCAGCAAAGUGGGGAUUGUCCAUGUAUGCUUAGGAACCAGGUGUUUUUAUAUUUCAUUCUUCCUGUGUAAUAGUUUCUUUACCAUCAGUUUUUGUGCAUCAAGGAAACUACAAAUGCUAACUUCAAAAAACUCACAAGCUGAAGUUGAGAGUAAUAUUUUCCACUUCUCUGAUCCAAGCCAGACAGUGUUUGAUGCUGGCAUGCCUAGGUUUUCCCUCUCUCUGUUUCCAUAUAAGGACAGGAUGACAUAAAUGUUUUUAAAGUAACAACAACAGAAAAAGUAUUAACAAAAACAACAAAAAAGCAAAAAACACACAUAAUCAAAAUACAGGCAGGAGCUCAGGCUUGGAGCCUUAAGAAAACUAGUUAAUGCAUAUAUUCUUGCUUUCAAAAUAUAAUCCAAAGGAAAAGACUCAGAAUAGCAUAGGUCUUAAGAACUUUGUCACCUACUGAAGCUGUUAAAUGUACCUUCUGUGUCUAUCCGUAGGAUGAUGGCAUUUGCAUUUGAGAAACAGGUUCAAUGUGAGUAAAACUGUGUUUCUUUAAAGCUGGGGAGAACAGACAUGCAGGGUUAGCUUUAUGAGUGACAGAUGCAAAUUAAGGACACGCAAGAAAAGUUUCUAAUAUGGCAGUAUUUACUUUAGAUUUUUCUCUAAUUAAGGAUAAUUUUUAAAUAUGCUGAUUAGCAAUUAGGUUGUUUAAUGCUUGAUUCAUGCUUUUAUUUGCAAUAAAAAGUUCUAUUUAAGUAGAGUAUCAGAGAGGCAUGUUUCUUUUAUUUAUUUAUUUUUUUUUCAGAAAAUUAGGCUGUUUGAAUCAUAUAUUUAUAAUAACCAGAGAACUAUUGUCUGUCUACCUGGUGUGUGAAACAAAACAAAUAGCCUUUUGAGAAUUUCCUUUGCAAAUACAUAUAUAGAAGGUCAUAAAAAUAUUUAUAGCUUUGCACUGGCCACUACAAAAAUAGAAGUAUGCCAUAAAAAAUAGACUGGAUAAAGAAAAUGUGGUACAUAUACUCAUUUGUACGACAUGGAAUACUAUGCAGCCAUAAAAAGGAAUGAGAUCAUGUUCUUUGCAGGGACAUGAAGGGGUUGUUAGCCAUUAUUCUCAGCACUAACACAGAAAAUCAGACACCACAAGUUCUUACUUAUAAGUGGGAGCUGAAUAAUGAGAAUACAUGGACACAAAAGUGGAACAACACACACUAGGGCUUGUCGGGGGCUGGUGGGGGAGGGAGAACAUCAGGAAAAAUAGCUAAUAGAUGCUGGGCCUAAUACCUAGGUGAUGGGAUGAUCUGUGCAGCAAACCUGCACAUCCUGCACAUGUACCCUGGAACUUAAAAGUUGAAGGGAAAAAAAGGAGCAUGGCAAGAUAUAGAAACAACCUGGUUUACUACACACACACACACACACACACACACACAACUGAAUAUUAUUCAGCUUUAAAAAGGGGAGAUCCUGCCACUUGUGACAGCACGGAUGAACUUAGAGGACAUUGUGCUAAGUGAAAUAAUCCAGAAACAGAAAGAAAAAUACUGCCUGAUCUCACUUAUAUUUGGAAUCUAAAAAAGAACACAGAUGGCAUACAGCACAUAGAAACAAAGGAUAGAAUGAUGGCUGUUGGGGGAAGGGAUUGAAUGGGAAGAUGUAAGUCAAAGCAUACAUGGUUGCAGUUAGGUAGAAUGAAUAGUCUAAAGGUGAUAUACAACAUCAGGACUAUAGUCAGAAGUAUUGUAUUGUAUACCGGUAAUUUGCCAAGAUAGCAUAUUUUAAGUACUUUUAUUUACAUGCACACAAAGAAACUAUAUGAGAUGAUGGAUAUGUUAAUUUGCUUGACUACAGUAAUUGCUUCACUAUGUAUGUGUAUAUCAAGGUACAUAUAUCAAAAUAUCAUGUUGUGUAUCUUAAAUAUGUACAAUAAAAAUGUAUAAAAAAUAAAA